rnacentral:lncRNA from 1 species
CUUGAAAAUUUCGAGUGACAAUCUCGUACCUCAUGAUUUACGUCCUGAUCAUACGGGAUUGCACCAACUAUUUGCCAACUGAAGAUCCAACUCUCCGCUAUAAAGGAGACUCAAAGAAGACCUCCAGAAAGGUACAUCAUUAUUCUGUCUUUCAUGCUCCUCCUUCUGUUGAACAAGAGUUCUGAUUUGAGCGUCGGAGGAUUCUCACCGGAGCCAUCUCUGGUUAAGAAUUUUGUGCAAGUCAUGCCCCCGGGAGACCAGCCUCACCAUCGGCUCCAGCAUCUCGACACCUGACAAAUUCUUGCACCCAUACCUAGUGCUUUCUUUUAUGAAAUUUAACCAUUAUAAGGAGUCCUCACUUUUCAUGGAUUGUAAGAACAUCUCGAGGUUAUAUUUUUUUUCUCUAUAUUAGUCAGAUACACUACAUAAUCUAGAAGUAUAGUAUAUUUUCUUAUUCUAAUAGAUCUUCAAAGAGUUGUCCCUUGAUCCGCUUGUAGUGAUUGCUAGAUAGUAGCUUCUUUGAUAAUAGUAACCUUAUGGAGUGAAACUUGAUAAAGUAGUAAUUCCUUCUAAAUAUUAUUUCAAAAAAUAACU